rnacentral:rRNA from 1 species
UACGUAGGGUGCAAGCGUUGUCCGGAAUUAUUGGGCGUAAAGAGCUCGUAGGCGGUCUGUCGCGUCCGUUGUGAAAGCUUGGGGCUCAACCCCAAGUCUGCAGUGGAUACGGGCAGACUAGAGUCAGGUAGGGGAGAACGGAAUUCCUGGUGUAGCGGCGAAAUGCGCAGAUAUCAGGAGGAACACCGGUGGCGAAGGCGGUUCUCUGGGCCUGUACUGACGCUGAGGAACGAAAGCGUGGGGAGCGAACAGG